rnacentral:lncRNA from 1 species
GAGGAAUGCCUUUUGUGGAACUGCCUGCAACUUGUGCACGGGGCUCCAAGGAUGCUUUUGUGAGUUAUCGCCUGCGCUCAAGUGGAGGUUCAGCCGCACAGCUGCAAAGGCUUCACCGUGCUCCUGUAAGUAACCCCAGGGGACAGUGCUUCGCCCAGGUAGGUGGAUUCAGUAAGAUUGUCUGCCUGUGGUGGAUCCUGUCUCAAGUCAGACAGAGGCUGGUAGUGAGCGGCGGCUGUUAGGGUUAAGAGGACUAAAGAUAGCGUGAGAUAAUUUUGGCUGUCGGCCUAUGGCAUUUUAAUUCUCCACAAUCAUGAAGUUCUAGCCUCUCAAUCUGUCUGCUGGAUCUGGAACACAGAUGCCACUCAGAAGGGCGUCCUCUAUCAGCAGAAGGUGCGUGUGUGAUAGAGCGGGAGCUGGCUGCCUCACUAUGGGCUGUGCAGAACUCAUGGCAAUGGGGCAGGAAAAUAUCUCACAUCUGUGAGUGCCUCUAACCAUGGCUGCCUGGGCUGCUUGUUAUCUCUGCCAGCUCUGUUGGUACCAGGGCACACAGGACUCCGCUGGUUCUGGCGGGGAUGCUAUGGAGUGUCUUGCUUGCUUUCAUUUCCAUGACUCUCCCUUCCAGCUGCCCAGUCCUUGUUCUGUGUUGCCAGAGGCUGGCUGAAUAGACAGAGGGUGCUGGUGGGAGGGGGGGUGGCACCCUGAGGGCCAAGAGGAUGGAGGUUUAUUGUGACGCACCACACCCUCAGAGCCCCAGCCACUCACUGGACCACACAGCCAGGAAGGGGGAAGCAUUUAGUUAAAGUGACACACCCCCAGAGGGUGCACUUUGGUUCCGCCAAGGACUCACUUUCUCCUCUUGGACCUCUUUGCUCUUCAUGUCCCCGUCUAGCUUGAGUGAGCGGAGCAAGAAAAUGGGCAGUUGUUAUAGAAGCCCCGAAAAACAAAAGGUCACUGUUCCCACAGGAACAACGCGUCCUUCUCCCACGGCAUUGUGCAGAUCCACUGAAAGAGCCCCAGUGACAGCCAGCCUUAUCUACACGGGUCCUGUAGUCGUCUCUUUCAUAUUUUCCCUUUGGCCUCCCGUCUAUCACAAGGAGCCUGGGUUGGGGCAGGGAUAGAAAUAGAUCUCUAGGCCCAGAAAUCACAAGGGCGUGGCCUGCCAAGCUGCAGUCUGUGCCUGGAACCUGGAGAAGAUCUAAUUCCUUACCUUAUCCAGUUAGAGCUCAGGCUAGUGACACACACAGACCCUGGGUAUAUGAAAGGAGGGAGGCAUAGAGCUCAUAGCUCUGUGGAAGGCAGGACUGGGGACACUUCCGCUGUGUGGCUUAUCCCCAAACUCCCCUUAGGAGAAAGUAUGAGGAGCGUGUUAAAUUUGGGCAAGCUGAAUGUGUCUGCACUGUCCAUUUUCCAUGGUUCAGAGCUACAUUCCUUUCAACAUCCAUCCACUGUUGUCUCCACUGACAUGUUCACCAGCCUGUUCCGAGGGGAAAAUGCUAAGUAGCUGGGACAGCGGUAACAUCUGUGAGUUAGAUGGACAGAGAGGAGGUACUGUGGUUGUCAGAAAGUUUAUCUGAUAAGUGACAGCUAGGGACACUGGGUCCUGCAGGUCAGGGAUUCUUGGCCUUGUUGUAGAAGCUAGGAGAUAUCCAUGUCAUGAACUGGUUGUUAUUGUCCUGCCAGACAUUACCUACUGGGAGAAGUGCCAAUUGUUAUCUGGCCCCAGAAAAUGAUUUCAUUUUUAACUCUAGCACAUCAGCUUCAUUUCCUGUGGAUAGAAACAGCCAUGGGAUUCACGUGUCAGCUCCAGCGUUAGCUGAGAGGGUGGCUCACCAUAAGAUUCAG